CCUACGGGAGGCAGCCGUAGGGAAUAUUGCUCAAUGGGGGAAACCCUGAAGCAGCAACGCCGCGUGGAGGAUGAAGGUUUUCGGAUCGUAAACUCCUUUUGUUAGAGAAGAUAAUGACGGUAUCUAACGAAUAAGCAACGGCUAACUCCGUGCCAGCAGCCGCGGUAAUACGGAGGGUGCAAGCGUUACUCGGAAUCACUGGGCGUAAAGAGCGCGUAGGCGGGAUAGCAAGUCAGAUGUGAAAUCCUAUGGCUUAACCAUAGAACUGCAUUUGAAACUGUUAUUCUAGAGUAUGGGAGAGGUAGGUGGAAUUCUUGGUGUAGGGGUAAAAUCCGUAGAGAUCAAGAGGAAUACUCAUUGCGAAGGCGACCUGCUAGAACAUAACUGACGCUGAUGCGCGAAAGCGUGGGGAGCAAACAGGAUUAGAUACCCGAGUAGUC
rnacentral:rRNA from 1 species